AGAUAAUACAUAAAUAACAAUAAUAAAUAAAUAAAUAAAUAUAAAUAAAUAAAUAAAUAAAUAAAUCAAGGGUCAUGCAAGUCAUGCAACCACGCAAGUUACAUAAAGAAAGCCUAAAUGGUGACCUAAGUGUGCUUAAAAUGGGUUUAGGUGAUCCUAAGUGUGCCUACAUGAACCUAAGUGGACCUAAGUGAGCCUAAAUGAGCCAAAUGUGCCUAAAAGGCCUAAGGGUGUCCAAAUGGGCUUAGUGUGCCUAAGUGGGCCUAAGUGAGCCUAAGUGGGCCUAAGUGAACCUAGAUAGGCUAAGUGUGCCUAAGUGGGCCUAAGUGAAUCUAGAUGGGCCAAAUGUGCCUAAAAGGGUCUAGGGGUGUCCAAAUGGACUUAGUGUGCCUAAGUGGGUCUAAGUGAGUCUAGAUGAGUCAAAUGUGCCUAAAAGGGCCUAGGGGUGUCCAAAUGGGCCUAGUGUACCUAAGUGGGUCUAAUUUAUUAAAACUUUUAAGAAUCUAAUUUGUUGCUAAAUUGUUUAUUGUAUAUUCUUCAGGUUAUACUGAAAGACAUAGGUCAUUCUCUUAAGUACGUCACUACUACUCUUGCUUAUUCAGACUUGAACAUGAUCAAUGACAUGAAGGACAUUGAGCAAUAGUUGAAAAUUUUCAUAAAGGAAUGUUGAGGUUGAGCAUCUAGAAUGUGAGUUGUAACCAUCCUUAUGCAUUUUGAAGAAAGAUGAUGUAAAACUAGAUGCAACAAAAGACUAUGAACAACUCAAAGUUGAAAAAGAAGUUGUAAAAUUUUUGGUUUUUUGAACAUUUUCAACUAAAUUUAAUGCUAAGCAAAUUCAUAAUUGUUUAUGUCUGACGUUUAUUGGUAAAUUUUAAUAGUGAAAGAGAAACACCACAAUUAGUACUUUUU